CUGAGGGCCGUGAGAGUCCUGGAAAGUGAGAGCUGCCCCAACCGAGAGACGGGGCGAGGGGGGAUUGAAAGGCAGGGAAAGUCCUAAUGGUAAAGAAACCCCACUGACCGACCCCACAAUGGGGUGCUGAGCACACUGAGAGCCUUCCCGCGGCGCAGAGCCCGGCGGCAGCUCAGUACUUCACACCGGGCACAAACUCCUUGGCGUCGGGGUUCAAGGUGCUUUUGCUCUGUAAGAGAAGGGGGGGGCAAUGGUUGCUCAAUGGGUUGGCCAACGGUUGAGCAAUCGUUGAUCAAUGGGUUGGCCAAUGGUUGACCAAUGGUUGCUCAAUGGUUUGGCCAACAGUCGAGCAGUGGUUGAUCAAUGGGUUGGCCAAUGGUUGACCAACUGUUGAUCAUCUGUUGGCCAAUGGUUGGCCAAUGGUUGAUCAAAGGGUUGGCCAACAGUUGACCAGCUGUUGAUGAAUGGGUUGGCCCACAGUUGACCAAUGGCUGCUCAAUGGGUUGGCCA
rnacentral:lncRNA from 1 species